rnacentral:rRNA from 1 species
CACGGAGGAUGCGAGCGUUAUCCGGAUUUAUUGGGUUUAAAGGGUGCGUAGGCGGACUGUCAAGUCAGCGGUAAAAUUGAGAGGCUCAACCUCUUCCCGCCGUUGAAACUGGUGGUCUUGAGUGGAUGAGAAGUACGCGGAAUGCGUGGUGUAGCGGUGAAAUGCAUAGAUAUCACGCAGAACUCCGAUUGCGAAGGCAGCGUACCGGCAUCCAACUGACGCUGAGGCACGAAAGCGUGGGGAUCAAACAGG